CCAUGCAUCAAAUGAGAAGCAAAAACAAUGCAAGUCCUGAUUCCCCCCCCCCCCCCCCCCCAUAAUUGUAAGGUGAGGUUACCAUUCAUCUCUUAAAAGCCUGAUAAGACACUCUUCCAUUGUAUAGGCUUUGAACCUCUGGACCUGAUUUAUUUCCUUGUUUAAACUUGAUUUUCUGUGCCUGUGAAAUAAUAAUGGAACGCUUUGUUUUCAUGUACUAAGAUUGAAGAACCUUUGGUCCCCCCAAAUCAACUUCCACAUAGAAAUGUUAAAUAGAAAGGCAGCAUAAUUAUUGUUAUUUUCAGGGAUGCAUUUGAUCAGCCUGAGCAAGAUAUUCCUCGUGCCAUUAAUGUCACCCCGGCUGAACAGGAGGCCAUUGAUAGAGUAUGUGUUCAUUCUACAACUAGAGGCAAUGGGUUUUGAUAGAGCCCUGGUCAUAGAGGCCUUUUUGGCAUGUGAUCACAAUGAGGAAUUUGCAGCCAACUACUUGCUGGAGAAUGCUGGAGAUUUUGAGGAUUGAAUGUUGCUCCAUUGGCUUCGUAGUUUCAGUUCCUUGGUGUCAUAGUGAUAUAAUUUUCUUUACUUGUGUAGUGUUCAGAUUAAAUCAUGCGCUUUAUUAAUGAAUUACGGAAAUUAAUUUGUGAAACUGAUCUCUAUAUGAGUAUAGGGUAGGGCAAAAGUAUAAGCUUUACAAUAAUUUCCCCAACUUAAUUUUUUCAUGGGAAAACUUCAUCUAAUAGUAAUAGUUUUUCAACUAGUAGUUUCUGUGAAGAGUGAAUUUUAGAACAAUACCAUAUCAUCAUCCUUCCCGUUCCUAUACCACCACCAUACUCCACCAUUUUCCAGUUUAUGUUUAUCUGGCAACCUCGGUGGCCGUAAUAGAUCGACUUUCCUGCUAAAUGAUGCGGAGAGGGGGUGGGUGCACAGAAGUGUAAACAUAGCAAUGACCCUCUAAUUACUAAAGUAUAACCCGAUAGGUUGCAUCUCCUAUGUUUGUACCCAUUUUGUUUUUGUAAUGGAAGGUGCUCAGCACUCAGUAUCUCAUAAACCCUAUACUUUCAAAGCCAAUCUUUUAGAUUUUCGCUUUCAGGCAAGAUAGAUCCUGUUCUUAGUUUUUGUUGAACGUGUUUAAUAAUAGCGGUUUGAUGCAUUUGUGUCAUGGGCAGGAGAUUCGUAUUGGCACAGACGAUGUGGUGAUGGAGUAAAUUGGAGGAUGAUUUUCUUUUCUUUUCUAGAGAGUUGGUUCACGUUAGUUAAUGGUUAGCUGAGAUAGAUUGCAAAGGAGAUUUUUGUCACAAAAACUUAUCAAAGUUUUUAUUUAUUUUUUAGUAAUGCUAGAGAGAAGCCAUUGUAGCAGUGCAUACUUUGCACUCACUGCAUGGUUGCUUCUAGUUAAUUGUUCUUAACACUCACUUGGGGAGAUGUGUAGUCUAGAUGAUGUCACAUCAUGUGUGCAAAAUGGAUGCUCUCAAUAGUGGCUUCUA